GCCAAUCCCAGCUGACAUCAGGCAAAAGGCGGGGUACACCCUGGACAGGCCGCCAAGGACCCCUCAUGGAAUCCCUUUUGGAUCCACCGUUCCAACAUCACAGAUGGAAGGAGUGAUGCUUCAAAGAUGUGACACAACAAGAAAGCUUUCGAAGUCUCCUGAAUGCUUGUUAUUCAUUAAAGAGGCGAUUUCUGUCAUGUUAAA